rnacentral:rRNA from 1 species
CCACAAGGGGUGAAGCCUGCGGUUCAAUUGGAGUCAACGCCAGGAAACUUACCAGGAGAGACAGCAGGUUGAGGGUCAGUCUGAAGAACUUACCUGACGAGCUGAGAGGAGGUGCAUGGCCGUCGCCAGCUCGUGCCGUGAGGCGUCCUGUUAAGUCAGGCAACGAGCGAGACCCCUAUCAGUAAUUGCUAACUGCCCAGAGAUGGGUAGAGGCUAGUUACAGAGACUGCCGUUGAUAAAACGGAGGAAGGAAGGGGCCACGGCAGGUCAGUAUGCCCCGAAACUCCUGGGCCACACGCGGGCUGCAAUGGUAGGGACAAUAGGUUCCGACCUCGAAAGAGGAAGGCAAUCCCCAAACCCUACCCCAGUUGUGAUCGAGGAUUGAAACCCGUCCUCGUGAAUAUGGAAUCCCUAGUAACCGCGUGUCAUCACCGCGCGGUGAAUACGUCCCUGCUCCUUGC